rnacentral:rRNA from 1 species
UAAUACGUAGGGUGCAAGCGUUAAUCGGAAUUACUGGGCGUAAAGCGUGCGCAGGCGGUGAUGUAAGACAGAUGUGAAAUCCCCGGGCUCAACCUGGGAACUGCAUUUGUGACUGCAUCGCUGGAGUGCGGCAGAGGGGGAUGGAAUUCCGCGUGUAGCAGUGAAAUGCGUAGAUAUGCGGAGGAACACCGAUGGCGAAGGCAAUCCCCUGGGCCUGCACUGACGCUCAUGCACGAAAGCGUGGGGAGCAAACAGGAUUAGAUACCCUGGUAGUCCACGCCCUAAACGAUGUCAACUGGUUGUUGGGUCUUCACUGACUCAGUAACGAAGCUAACGCGUGAAGUUGACCGCCUGGGGAGUACGGCCGCAAGGUUG